rnacentral:lncRNA from 1 species
UUCAAGAUGUAAUAAAAUCUAGUUAAUCUUGACCUUUUUUUUUCUUUAAUAUCAACAUCCAGUAUGAUGACCUAGGGACUUAUCUUAUUUUCAAAUGAGAAACCCUAAAAGUUAAACAACAGCCGCCAACGAAGUUCCUUCCUCCUCUCUAUUAUGCAGACACAAAACAAAAGCAAACAAAUCUCAGAUUAUCUUCUACUCCUCUCUCAACAGAUCUCGUUCGCGAAAACAGAUUAAUCGAAUGGAGCCGGAGGUGGUUAAGCGUAGAGGAAGGAAGAGGAAGAGGAAGGGAGGAGAAGAUGUGGUGGUUAACGGACGGAGGUGAAUCGGAGGAGACGGCGGUGCGGUGGUGCUCGAAGUGGUGCAGUUUGAUACGGUGGUUGGCGUAGUUGUGGUGUCCUCCGACGGUGUACGGUGGUUGGAUUUAAGGUGAUGGUGUGAUCGGAGCGAGGGGCGGCGGCGGAGAAGGGUGAACGACGGUGGUGGAGGGUGAAAGAUGGUGAAGUGAUUGUUGUACGGAUGGCGGAGGCGUUUGAGUGUUGUACGGAUGGCAGAGAUGACCGGUGGUCGGAGAUGUAAGGUGGAGAUGGGUAGGGUUCGAAAUUUUAAAGAGUUUGCAGUAAGAGGUUUAUUGUAGGGUAGGGUUGGUUUUUUUUUUGUGGUUUUGUUUUUCUUUUGUUUGAAGAUUGUGGAUGGAAAGUUGAAUCCACACAAAACUGUUUCUACUCUUUCUUAAGAAAAAUAAUUUCGCCGGCUUUACUUAAAAUCGCCGGAGUAACGACUCCGAAAAACGGUGACUUACCGGCGUAUUUAAUACGUCGGAGAACUUGAACUCGCGUUCAAGGUUUAAUUUCGCCGGAAAAGUUUGCCGGAAUUUUUAAAUUCGCCGGAAAGUCACCGGAAAACUCAAAUUCACCGGAACUUUCAAUAAAAUCGCUGUGU